rfam:Equus caballus chromosome 17, whole genome shotgun sequence.
CUGAGUUAGCUCUAAACUCAAUCCAUACUCGAAGUAACAGAUUUAAGAUGCUCGAUAUUGGAAUGAUUUGGCAUCAACUUAAAAAGAAAA